rnacentral:lncRNA from 1 species
CUCGGGCGCAGUUGUGCUUCCCGGCUGUCGUCUCCUGCCUGCAGACCGCUGAGCGCUUCCCCGCUUGGUACCAUCAUGCCGAAAGCGAGAAACGAGACGCAGUGAGCGAUUCAGAGUAAGGAGAAAAGAACAAGGGACCAUUGAAGAGAGCUGAGAGUCAGCACUACUGAUAUUCCAGAUUACUGAAUUGUGUUGAAAAAAUGAGGUUUCUCAUCAGGUGAGAUUGUUUGUACAUAAUUCUCUGAAUCUUCUUUUCAUUAUGGAUAG